CGGAUAACUGCUUAUUAAUUUAAGAGGAAAGUCCAUGCUCGCACCAUCUGCGAUGAUGGUAGUGAUUGUGCUAGCGGAAAAAAUAACGCUAGGUAUAUGGGAGCAUAUAACGGCGAAACUAGUCUAAAACUUCGGUCAUGAUGAUGUUUCUGAAAGUGCCACAGAGACGAGCUUAAUAGAAAUAUUAAGGUGGAACGUUGGUAAACCCCACAAGCGAGAAACCCAAAUUUGGUAGGGGAGGUUAGGAAAGAGAACUGAAUCAAUCCUAGCAUGCUUAUGCAUAGAUAAAUUGUUAUCCUAGACAAAACAUGGCUUAUAG
rnacentral:RNase_P_RNA from 1 species